AUGUUGAGUGAACUUUUCGGCAAUGCAUUUAAAAUCUCAUGUGCCUACAUAGAAAAGGCCCUCUUAUGGCCUGCGAUAAAAUCGGAGGAACCCAGAGCUUUGCAAGACUUUUCACUGUUUUUGAGAAGUUGCUGUACUGCCAUGGAACAGCUUGAAUACAUGGAAGAAUUGGACACAAUCUCUAACAUGAAAAACAUCAUCUUCAAAUUACCGUAUAAAUUUAGAGAAAAAUGGCGCUCAAAGGCUUGUGAAAUACAAUUACAACGAAACACCAGGGUUAGAAAGGCUGACCUAGUGACCUUUAUUGAGAAGCAAGCAACUAUUGUCUCGGACCCGGUUUUUGGAGACAUUCAUGAUCCAACAAGCAGCAGCAAAUCCAAAGCCCCAAUGAAGCCUAUUUCUAAGGGUAGUUUUGCUACACAUGUUGAUGUUAGGCCGACUCUACAAACACCAGAACACUUGGUAAUCCCUGGUAAAACAGAUAGUGUAUGUAUUUUCUGUACUGGCAAGCAUGAAUUAAUGACAUGUUCUCUGUUUCAGUCGAAGCCACAUAAUGAAAAAAUAACAUUCCUCAAGCAGAAUGGAGUUUGCUUUGGAUGCCUAGCAAAGGCUGGACACCUCAGCAGGGACUGUGCCAAACGUCUCCAGUGUUCCGUAUGUAACAAACAGCAUCCCAGUGUUUUGCAUAUCAAAGCAAAAGAGGCAUCAGUGCGUAGCAUACAGGUUUCUGUAAAAACUGAUAGACAAACUGGGGCAGGUUACGCACAGAGGUAUAAGGAUACAUUAGCCAUUGUACCUGUUCAGUUGAAAAUCACCAAAGGUAGUAGGAUCAUUAACACCUAUGCCUUCUUAGACCCCGGCAGCUCUGCUACUUUUUGCACAGAGAAUCUCCUGAACAUGCUUGACAUCAGAGGAAAGAAAACCAACAUCUUGUUGAGAACCAUUAACCUGGACGAAUCUGUGCAGGCUUACAUGGUGAAUGGAUUGGAGGUUAGUGCAUUGAAUGAAAACAACUUUAUCGCACUUCCUGAAGUUUACACUCAAAAGAGUAUGCCUGUGGAUAUUGACAGCAUCCCAAGGACUGAAGAGCUCUCUAAGUGGCCUUACCUGAGUGAGGUUCAGAUUCCGAAACUUGAUGCUGAAGGGGAGCUAUUGAUUGGAAACAAUGUCCUCAAAGCAAUAGAACCGUGGACAGUCAUUAACAGUCACGGAGAGGGGCCGUACGCUGUGAAAACCCUAUUGGGAUGGGUUAUCAACGGCCCUUUAGAAAGCAGUGUCAUUACAGACGGCAAUGGGCUAUGUAGUGUUUCUGUUAAUAGAAUAUCAGUAGCAAAACUGGAAGAUUUGAUAGUGCAACAGUACAAUCAUGAUUUUAAUGAAACAUUGGAUGAGAAAGAAAUGUCAGUGGAAGAUAGAAAAUUCAUGAAAAUCACUGAGCGGUCCAUCAAUCUGCAAGAUGGACAUUUUAACGUAGACUUACCUUUCAGGCCUAAAAACCCAGUCAUGCCCAACAACUAUCAGGUUGCAGAACAACGCCUGAUAGGCCUGAAAAAGAAGUUCAAAAGGAAUGAGAAAUUCAAGACCUCAAGUUGCUUGAGGAUGUAA
ensembl:lncRNA